rnacentral:lncRNA from 1 species
GUGUCCGUCCCUGGCCAGUUCCCCCCGCUGGCUCGCGCCGCGGCCUCUCUAGGAGCGGCUGGAGGUGGAAACUCGUUGGCAUUAACCCUGGACUGGAUCUCCCGGGCCUCGGGGGGUGGGGGCGACCCGACGCCCCGGAGCCGGCGGGAAGGGCAACAGCAGUUUGUGUGUCUGUAUCGCGGGUCUCGGCCUAACCGGGGACCUGUCUGCAGGUUUCUCCGACCAUGUGCUGGCUACUGAGUGUGGCCAAGGGCGAAGCGGCAAGUGAGACCAAGGGUGCGGGACAGUUCGGAGAGUGACACUGAAGAGUUCCAGAAGGGAAGGGGGAGGGGGAAGGGGAGAGAAGAGAAGAGAAGAGAAGAGAAGAAAAGAGAGGAGAAAAGAGAGAAGAGAAGAAGAGAAGAGAAGAGAAGAGAAGAGAAGAGAAGAGAAGAGAAGAGAAGAGAAGAGAAGAGAAAGAAGAGAAGAGAAAGAAGGAAGGUGGGCCAAACAGGCCCUUUUAUAGCAAGCCAGACCUACCUGGCUGUUGCUAGGUAACUGUUGGGCGGAGCGUAGAAGGAAUACCUGCAGAUAGCCCUGGCCCCGCCCAGUCUGCGGGCCCUGUUCAGCCUUUCUCCCUGUCUCCCUGUGCUCUGCACUCUUCCAGAUGGCUUUGGCUGUUCUCUCUCUCCUAUCGACAAUUAGAAAUAAGAUAAAGACUUUCCCCUAACUCUCGCAUGGAACAGUCGUGUCGUCAGUAUCAUCUAAUCUAAUCUAAUCUAAUCUAAUCAU